CAGCCAACUACCUCACAUUCAUAUUUGCAUUUAUACACUGUAACAAGCCACAUUGAAGUUUUAUUAAAAGAAGUCAACUUCAUUCUUGUGAAAACUGCAGAAAGUUAAGCAAAUAUGUAUUCAUUUUCUUGUCAAAAUUGCAAAGGUAUUAGUGAGAGCUAUUCUCAAGCCAUAUGGAGAAAAGAUCAACUCUUAUAAUCCAUCUACUAUUUCUCAAACCAUUAACUCUUACCUUAAAAAAAUUCUAUUUAUCAAACACCCAUCUACCAUUUAUCAAGCAUUCAAAAAAUUUGCUUGAAGUGGAGUAAUACCAACCUGUUUUCAUAUACUGAGGAUUGCAUUGGAGCUAUCGAUGGGACACAUGUGAGGGCAUCUGUUCGAGAACAAGAGCAACCAAAAUAUAUUGGUAGAAAAGGAUACGCGACGUAAAACAUAACGGCGACAUGUGAUUUUAACAUGUGUUUUACGUUUGCAUGAGCUGGAUGGGAGGGGACAACACAUGAUACUAGAAUUUUCAAUGAAGCAUUGCGUAGGCCCGAAGUUAAUUUUCCACGUCCAAUAGGUGAUAAAUAUUACGUUGUUGAUGCUAGAUAUCCAAAUACUAGAGGUUAUCUUGCUCCAUAUAAAGGAACCAACAUUCGUUAUCAUCUACCAGAUUUUUGUCGUGGAAAAACGAUUGCUAGUCGUGCUGCUAGGGGACCGAAAGAGAUAUUUAACUACCAUCAUUCAUCAUUGAGAAAUGUCAUUGAAUGAACUUUUGGAAUAUGGAAGGCUAGAUGGGAGAUAUUACAACAUAUGCAUGUCAAUUACACCUACGAGACACAAGUGAAGAUCGUGCUAGCAUCUAUGGCAAUACAUAAUUAUAUUAGAAAAAAAGAUACAUGUGAUGAAGGAUUUACCAGGGCGCAACAAGAAUCUUACACUCCAAAUAAUGGUCGAGGAUCUAAUGACAUUAAUGAAGUAAAUGAAGACACAAGUACA